rnacentral:lncRNA from 1 species
ACUUGUAUAUUUCACUCACUCGGGGCUGCUACUGAGUCCCAUUACAAAAGGCGUGGUGCUUUAUCUAUCCCCAAGGAGGAUUUUGAGGUGACUUUAUCCAUUGAUGACUACGUCAGCCAGUACAAUAAGAUGAUUUCAGGUGGAGGUAGAGGUCAAAGCCGAAUGCAUGUGGCACUAAGAGUGCUACAAGAAAUUGGUAUUGCUGCAGAAGAUCCUGGCCUUGAGGGCAUGCGCUAUAAAAUCUAUAACUGGAAGAUGAUUAACAAGGAGGAUGUUAAAUUCAAGGAAAUUGCCGAAGAGAUCGGGAUAAAAGCUAGGAAUAGUGCUGGCAUAGAGUUUGGAGAGGAGGGCUUUGGCCGUGUCUAUCUCAAGGACGUGCUGAGGAUGGCAACCUUGAACGUCAUUUGA